ACUCAAAUGAAUUGACGGGGGCCCGCACAAGCAGCGGAGCGUGUGGUUUAAUUCGAGGCUACACGAAGCACCUUACCUGGACUUGACAUGCGUGUGAACGAGGCGGAAACGCCGAGGGCCGCAAGGCACACGCACAGGUGCUGCAUGGCUGUCGUCAGCUCGUGCCGUGAGGUGUUAGGUUAAGUCCUGUAACGAGCGCAACCCCUGGGUCCAGUUACACGCUGUCUGGACCGACUGCCCGCGACAAGCGGGAGGAAGGUGGGGAUGAUGUCAAGUCAGCAUGGCCUUUAUGUCCAGGGCUACACACACGCUACAAUGGCCGGUACAAUGGGUCGCCAAGCCGCAAGGCGCAGCCAAUCCUAUCAAAGCCGGUCUCAGUUCGGAUUGUGGGCUGCAACCCGCCCACAUGAAGUCGGAGUUGCUAGUAACCGCGCGUCAGCCAUAGUGCGGUGAAUACGUUCCCGGGCCUUGUACACACCGCCCGU
rnacentral:rRNA from 1 species